GCUGGUUGUGGUGGCAUACCUAUAAUUGCUGCUACUGGGAAGACUGAAGCCAGUGGACUGCCUGAGCUCAGGAGUUCUGAGUUUUAAUGAGCUAAGCUGAGCCGGUGCGUGGUUACAGCGAGUACCCUUCUGGUGAGCUACUAAGAGUGGAGGACCACCAGGCUGCCCAACGAGGGGUGAACUGGCUCAGGUAAGAAACAGAGCAGGUCAGAGCUCCUAAGCCAGUUAGUAGGGGGAUCAUGACUGCAGCACAGCCACUGCACUUUCAGCUUGGGUGAGAUAGGAAGACCCAGUCUCA
rnacentral:SRP_RNA from 1 species